AGAGCGAACGCUGGCGGCAGGCCUAAUACAUGCAAGUCGAACGCACCUUCGGGUGAGUGGCGGACGGGUGAGUAACACGUGGGAACGUGCCUUUUGGUUCGGAAUAAUCCGGGGAAACCUGGCCUAAUACCGGAUGUGCCCUUCGGGGGAAAGAUUUAUCGCCAUUAGAGCGGCCCGCGUCUGAUUAGCUAGUUGGUGAGGUAACGGCCCACCAAGGCGACGAUCAGUAGCUGGUCUGAGAGGAUGAUCAGCCACACUGGGACUGAGACACGGCCCAGACUCCUACGGGAGGCAGCAGUAGGGAAUCUUGCGCAAUGGGCGAAAGCCUGACGCAGCCAUGCCGCGUGAAUGAUGAAGGUCUUAGGAUUGUAAAAUUCUUUCAGCGGGAAGAUAAUGACUGUACCCGCAGAAGAAGCUCCGGCUAACUUCGUGCCAGCAGCCGC
rnacentral:rRNA from 1 species